CCGCCAUCGGACAGCAGUGAAACAUACGGCAGUUCAAUUUGAACUACCUCCGAAGCUGAAGAAAAGUGUAGUGGUCGACGAUCAAUCACUACGCCUCAACUGCAUAAUAGCAUCUGCCACUAUCGCGCCAUGGACAACAGAAACGUCGUCGUCUGUGACAAUGGCACUGGGUAUGUCAAGUGUGGAUUUGCUGGAGAGAAUUUUCCCACCUCUGUAUUCCCUUGUGUGGUGGGGAGGCCUAUGCUACGGUAUGAAGAAUCUCUCAUGGAAGAACAGUUGAAGGAUAUUGCAGUUGGAGAAGCUUGCGCUGACUUGAGGCAUCAACUGGAUAUAUCUUAUCCUGUUAACAAUGGAAUAAUUCAGAACUGGGAUGACAUGGGUCAUGUGUGGGACCAUGCAUUUUUCAAUGAACUUAAAAUAGACCCAACAGAAUGUAAGAUUUUACUCACAGACCCACCUCUUAAUCCCUCAAAGAAUCGUGAAAAAAUGGUUGAGACCAUGUUUGAGAAAUACAACUUUGCCGGUGUCUUCAUUCAAAUCCAGGCUGUUUUAACGUUGUAUGCCCAAGGUGCUUGUGGAGAUGAUUGAAGGUUUAUAUUUUAUUGAUUGGCAUAUCAUAUUUAGUAGUGUGAUGGAGAGUUGGAGAACUGCCUUUUGAAUCAUGGAAAUCACUGAUGCUAAUUUUUUGCCUUUGAAAAUGGUUAAAUUGCUGUUGCUUCUGCUGCUAUUGCUCAACUACAACAUUGCUUGUUUAUUUGUCCUUCUAGUUGCACGUGUGCUUAAGCAUUACUUUUAUUUCUUACAGGUUUACUGACGGGAUUGGUCAUCGACUCCGGGGAUGGUGUCACUCAUGUGGUCCCUGUUGUUGAUGGCUACUCAUUUCCUCAUCUGACUAAGCGAAUGAAUGUAGCUGGUCGGCACAUUACUUCCUAUCUUGUUGAUUUACUUUCACGGAGAGGGUAUGCAAUGAAUAGGACUGCUGAUUUUGAGACUGUAAGGGAAAUCAAAGAAAAACUAUGCUAUAUAAGUUAUGAUUACAAAAGGGAGUAUCAAUUGGGACUUGAGACCACAAUCCUUGUUAAGAAUUACACUCUUCCAGAUGGAAGGGUGAUAAAAGUAGGCACUGAGCGGUUCCAGGCACCUGAGGCUCUUUUUACACCAGAACUUAUAGAUGUUGAAGGUGAUGGAAUGGCUGAUAUGGUUUUUCGCUGCAUCCAGGAAAUGGAUAUUGACAACCGAAUGAUGGUAAUAGGACUGUUUGUUAACGCUUUACUUCAUGUGCAUAUUCUUGAAUUUAAAGUUUUUGCAUCCUAAUUUUUUGGGUUUUUUUUUUGGUACGUUUGGCUUCCAAUUGGGGUUUGAACUCAAGGCCUCACUGUCUUGAAGACAACUCGAGUACCAUUGAGCUAAAGUUCAUUGUUAUUUAUUUUUAUUUUAUUUAUUUAUUUUGGUUUUUUGGUGAGGAUGCAGAAAUUCUUUUCUGUUGUAGAAAAUGUUACUUUUAUUAGUUUGAUUUUGAUGCAAGGUAUGCAUAUUUCAGUAGGCUAUUUUUUUUUUUUACAUCAGAAGUAUGCCCUCCUUGUUGUCUUAUUUCAAUUUCUACUAAAAGUUUGUUCCUUUCUUCUUGUGCUCUGUCAAAUUGUUGAUGGUGCAACUAAUAUUUGAAAAGGUUGGGGCUGUUGGAUGGAUCAAUGUCUUGUGGCAUAUUUGUUCAUGAUGUGUUUUCACUUGUGUCAAGUAAUGACUGUAAUUUUGUUUUUUGUUUUUCAUUUUCAUUUUUCCUGAACACACACACACUCCAUCUCCAUUUACCAUGCCAUCUCUUAUUUAUGUUUCAGCAUCUGGUAACUACGUUCUAGAUGCUCUUGGGUUCAAUUUGAUAUAUCCACAAGUGAAGUGGUUAGGACCAUGAUCUGAACUCUGGAGUGAGUCACAGAUAACUGUUGGGUCACAGUUUUGCCAUCUUUUUUAUUUAUGUUGCGCGAGUAUACUCUAUGCUAUGCAAUUCUCGACGCCAAUUUGCUUUAUGUUUUGCAGCUGUACCAGCACAUAGUAUUAAGUGGAGGGAGCACCAUGUAUCCUGGUUUACCUAGUCGGUAAUAUUUCUAAUUCCUGUUUGUCUUAUGGGUUUCCUUUCUUUGUAGAUAAGGUACUUUGUUAUGAUGGAUUCCUCUUUUACAUGGGAUAUUUAGAUUUACAUUGAAUUUAUUAAAUUCAAUUUUGUAUACACAUCAUAAAUUAAUGCACUUAUGACUGGACAUUUAUGGGGUCGUUUGCUCCAUGCCCCUGUCCAACAUUCUUAACAAUUCUACAGAUGAUUAAAUGGAGAAAGAAUGCAGCAAAAAUUUUUGAGAAAUUGAUCAUUGUUUAGUCGAUUGCCUGCACCUAACUCACAUUCUUCUGGUUGCUCUAUGUUACUUUAAUGAGACGCAAUGUUCAAUUUAUGGAAACCUGGUUGGGCGGUACUUCAUGACCUUUCUGAAAUGUGAAUGAACAGCUUCUAUCAUUUCAUUUCUUUGGUUGCAUCUUUUGUAUGGCCCUGCAUUUAAGGCCAUAUUCUAGAAAACACUAAAUAAUUUUUGUAUUAGUUCAGCCUGGAGAAAGAAAUACUGGAUCGCUAUCUUGAAGUUGUUCUGAAGGGAAAUAAAGAUGGGUUAAAGAAGCUGCGAUUGCGGAUAGAAGAUCCACCACGGAGAAAGCAUAUGGUCUACCUAGGAGGUGCAGUUCUUGCUGGAAUUAUGAAGGAUGCUCCAGAGUUCUGGAUUAGCAGAGAUGAUUAUCUCGAAGAAGGAAUUACUUGUCUGAACAAGUGCGGUUAAGAAUUGAGUUUUGUAAAUCUAUAAUGUAUCAAUAUUCUUCAAAAAGACAUGCGAACCUAUAUCAAGGGUGUUUGGACUAGUAAAAAGGGCAGGGCUAUACCAUGCCUGAAAUCUAUCUUUCCUGUUGAGUAGUUGAG
rnacentral:misc_RNA from 1 species